AGAUUUCCUGGGGUAAAAGAGCAGUGGGGCAGCCGAGGUUUGGCUGUGGGGCCGAGGGGGUGCCCAGGUGUACCCCCACACUUCUGCCCUCCUGGCCUUCCCCACCUCCAUCCAAAACCAACCAGGAGAAAAGUUACUGUGCCUUGUUUUGGGAAAAACAAGGAACAUCCCAUUAGGACCAGUUCCAAAAGGUGACUUAACCUUUACCUACGUACCAGCUUACAUCAGGUAGAGACAACUUCUGAGCUUUUAUUUUUAAUUUUUUUUAAUGAUUGUUUUUAUCUUUCUUCACACAGUUCUCAGUCUCUCCUCACCUCAGUGCCUGCAUUUGCUCUCUCCACUCGUGAUAUUGUGCCUCUUGCACACGUGGUCCCUAAAAGGUGCUGCCACACACAAGGGAGGUGGGUCCCAGAGGGGUUUUCAGCCCUGUGCUGGUGCAGCAGAGCAGGACGAGCUCUCCUGAAGGCCUGGGGGAGCUGCUGAUGAGUUAAACUCAGACCUGCAGCUGCUCACUGCCCCUGGGCUUGCUUAAAAUGUAUUUUAUUACCAGUCAGGAGUCCAUAUUCUCACAGAGGCAGAGCAAAGCCUUGUCAGAGUCAGGCAAAGCUCCUCUUGCUGCCCUGACUCAGGGUCCAAACCGUCCAGGGAUGCCAGGCUGUUCCUGACCCAAACCCUCCAGGGUGCCAGGCUGUUCCUGAUCCAUCCCUCCAGGGGUGCUCAGCUUGUUCUGGCUCCCAUCCCUCCAGGGAUAUCCAGGUUGAUUUCCAGACCCAUCCCUCCAGGGAUAUCCAGGUUUUCCUGGCUCCCACCCCUCCAGGAAUGCCCAGGUUGAUUUCCUGAUCCAUCCUUCCACAGGUGCCCAGGGUGUUCCUGGCCCAUCCCUCCAGGAAUGCCCAGGCUGUUCUCCUGACCCAUCCCUCCAGGGAUAUCCAGGUUUUCCUGGCUCCCAUCCCUCCAGGGAUAUCCAGAUUUUCCUGGCUUCCAUCCCUCCAGGGCUGCCCAGGUUGAUUUCCUGACCCAAACCCUCCAGGAAUGCCCAGGCUGUUCCUGACCCAUCCCUCCAGGGACAUCCAGCUUGUUCUGGCUCCCAUCCCUCCAGGGGUGUCCAGGCUGUUCUGGCUCCCAGCUCGAGUCCCUUCCUGCUGGCAGCAGAGCCCAGGUGCCCUGGCCAGCCCCAUUCCCUGUCCCCAGUGUCCCAGCUGGGACAAACCUGCUGCUGGCAGGUCCCUGCCCCUCCAAGAGGAGCUGGCCCAAGUCAGGAACGACCCCAGGUCAGGAGGAGAGGCUGGGCUGGUGCUGUGAGCACACAAACUCCAGCAGUCCUCAGCUCUGCCUGGCCUCAACGAGCUGUUUGGGACUAAUUUUAUUUUUGUGGAGGUGUGUGGGCAGCCAGAGGCACUUGUGAGGUUGGGCUGGAGGGUGAAAUGUUGCUAUUUUGGCCGAGUUUUGUCAGCCUGUUCCUUGGCAGGGUGACUCCCCUGCUGUCUGAGCCGGGCCCUCAAAGGUUUGGAACCGUCCCUUUCCCGUCAGGGGUCACUGUUUUUGUUUUAGUUCUUCUCAAAUUAAAGGCUGCCAGCCUCCCUUUCCCACAGCAAGGGCUGCGUGCUGACUCGCAGCUGCUUUGGGGACGGAUUUGGCAGUGCCUUAACCACUUCCAGAAACAGUUUUGGGGUCUGCACUUCCUACCCCGAGCUCUUUGUCUUUUGAGACAAAAUCCUAUUGCCAGAGCUGGGGUGUCCUCGAACAAAUUCCCCCCCGACCCAAGACCAAAAAGCCUUUUAUUUUAAAUAUUGAAUUUGAGGAACUUUUUUUGCACAGAGGCUGCUCUGAUGCUCAAAUGUUUUUGAUAGUUUAAGUGCCUAAAGUGCUUCCACACUGAGCUUCAGGUGAAGGGGUUUGGUGGGAAAGGCCUUAAAUUGUUUCAAACCCUCAGGUGAUAAAAAACAGUCAGAGAGGGGCAGAGCCAGGGCUUAUAAUGGGAGAUCAGCAUGAGAGAGCAGGAGGACAAGGAAAUCUUUACAAAAUCAGCUUUUUUGGCUUCUUCAAAGAAAAUUUCUGUGCCAGGAUCACAUGUAAGACCAGCAAUGGAUGUUUUGGUCUGGGUAAGAGCAUCCCUUACCUGCUGUUACUGGUAUUCCCUGUGUGACCACAGAAUUUCUCUAGGAUUUGGUCCUGUCUGGCCACAGGUUUGGGUACGAGCUCCUCAGAGCUGCUGAGCAGGAGCUUUUCUCUUCCUCACAGGUGAAUCGUGCCUCACCUUUCCCUUGUCCACUUUGGAAGGUGGAGGGGGGAGCGCUGUUGUGUAAAUUCCCUAGUCUAGGGAAGGACUGGGGGGAUGGAUGGAUGCUGGUUUUCCUUUUCGAGGUCACAUCCUGCCCGCGAGACGUUCGUGGUUUAUUUAUUGGCUAGAGUGAAUAUU